UCGAGAAUCUUUCGCAAUGGGCGAAAGCCUGACGAAGCGACGCCGUGUGUGUGAUGAAGGCCUUCGGGUUGUAAAGCACUUUCGCUAGGGAACAAGAAAGGCUGGCUAAUAUCCAGCCAAUUUGAGGGUACUUGGUAAAGAAGCACCGGCUAACUCCGUGCCAGCAGCUGCGGUAAUACGGAGGGUGCAAGCGUUAAUCGGAUUUAUUGGGCGUAAAGAGCGCGUAGGCGGAGCGGAAAGUUAGAUGUGAAAUCCCGGGGCUCAACUUCGGACCCGCAUCUAAAACUACCAUUCUAGAGGAUGGACGGAGAAAAGGGAAUUCCACGUGUAGCGGUGAAAUGCGUAGAUAUGUGGAAGAACACCGGUGGCGAAGGCGCUUUUCUAGUUUAUUCCUGACGCUGAGGCGCGAAAGCAAGGGGAGCAAACAGGAUUAGAUACCCAUGUAGUCCC
rnacentral:rRNA from 1 species